rnacentral:rRNA from 1 species
CCCUUAGAUGUUCUGGGCCGCACGCGCGCUACACUGUUCGACGCAGCGAGUCUUAACCUUGACCGAAAGGUUUGGGUAAUCUUCAACAAAGUCGAACGUGAUGGGGAUCGAUCAUUGCAAUUAUUGAUCGUGAACGAGGAAUUCCUAGUAAGUGCAAGUCAUCAGCUUGCGCUGAUUACGUCCCUGCCCUUUGUACACACCGCCCGUCGCUACUACCGAUUGAAUGGUUUAGUGAGAUCUCUGGAUUGACGCUGGCUAGGGGGCGACCCUUGGCCAGACUGUUGAGAAACUGCUCAAACUUGAUCAUUUAGAGGAAGUAAAAGUCGUAACA